UACGAAGGGUGCAAGCGUUACUCGGAAUUACUGGGCGUAAAGGGUGCGUAGGUGGUUGUUUAAGUCUGUUGUGAAAGCCCCGGGCUCAACCUGGGAAUGGCAAUGGAUACUGGACAGCUGGAGUGCGGUAGAGGGUAGUGGAAUUCCCGGUGUAGCAGUGAAAUGCGUAGAGAUCGGGAGGAACACCCAGGGGGAAACCAGCCGGCUGGGGACGUGCUGACGCUCAGGGGCGAAAGCGUGGGGAGCGAACCGG
rnacentral:rRNA from 1 species